AGGCUGCAUAGCCGCGCGGAGGAGGCAGGAGCCAGAGCGCGAGCAGUAGCUGGGUGGGCACUAUGGCUGGGAUCACCACCAUCAAGGCGGUGAAGAGCAAGAUCCAGGUUCUGCAGCAGCAGGCAGAUGAUGCAGAGGAGCGAGCUGAGCGCCUCCAGCGAGAAGUUGAGGGAGAAGGGCGGGCCUGGGAACAGGCUGAGGCUGAGGUGGCCUCCUUGAACCGUAGGAUCCAGCUGGUUGAAGAGGAGCUGGACCGUGCUCAGGAGCGCCUGGCCACUGCCCUGCAAAAGCUGGAAGAAGCUGAAAAAGCUGCUGAUGAGAGUGAGAGAGGUAUGAAGGUUAUUGAAAACCGGGCCUUAAAAGAUGAAGAGAAGAUGGAGCUCCAGGAAAUCCAACUCAAAGAAGCUAAGCACAUUGGAGAAGAGGCAGAUAGGAAGUAUGAAGAGGUGGCUCAUAAGUUGGUGAUCAUUGAAGGAGACUUGGAACGCACAGAGGAACGAGCUGAGCUGGCAGAGUCCCGUUGCCAAGAAAUGGAUGAGCAGAUCAGACUGAUGGACCAGAACCUGAAGUGUCUGAGUGCUGCUGAAGGAACGUACUCUCAAAAAGAAGACAAAUAUGAGGGAGAGAUCAAGAUUCUUACUGAUAAACUCAAGGAGAGACCCGUGCUGAGUUUGCUGAGAGAUCGGUAGCCAAGCUGGAAAAGACAAUUGAUGACUUGGAAGAUAAACUGAAAUGCACCAAAGAGGAGCACUCUGUACACAGAGGAUGCUGGACCAGACUCUGCUUGACCUGAAUGAGAUGUAGAACGCAGCAGUCCCACCCUGCUGCUGCUUCUCCCUCUGACCCUGACUCCGCCUGAGGCCAGCCUGCCCGAAGCUGACCUUCAACUGAGGGCUGAUCUUUAACUGGAAGGCUGCUUUCUCUUUCGCUGCCCCCCCUUCCCCUGUGUCUUAUUCGCCAAACUGUCUCUGCCUCUUCCCGGAGAUUCCAGCUGGGCUAGAGGCUGAGCACCUUUGGAAACAACAUUUAAGGGAAUGUGAGCACAAUGCAUAAUGUCUUUAAAAGCAUGCCGUGAUGAACACAUUUUGUAAUUACCUUUUUUGUUGUUUUGUAGCAACCAUCUGUAAAACAUUCCAAAUAAUUCCACGCCCUGAAGCAGCAAGCUAAUCCCUUUCUUACUUUUGGAAGGUGACUUUUCAGCUUAAUGCAUAUUGCCCUCUCCAUAGAAGACAGGAAAAGGUAUAGCCCUGCCUUACUGAGAGCCAAGCAGAGCCCAGGGAAAGACUCCACUAUGGGAAACCUCAUUGCUCUGUACAAAGUACCAGCUAAACCAGAAAGGUGAUUCCAGGAGGAGUUAGUCAAACAAGAACAACAACAAAAAAAUGUGCUGUUCAAGUUUUCAGCUUUAAGAUCUCUUUGGACAACAUUAUUUCUAUUUUUUUCAUUACAAGUGACCAAAUUAAGAUGGUAAGAUCUCUGAGACCAAAUUUUUGUCCCGUCUCUACUCCCUCCCAACUGCUUACAGAAUGGAUCAUGUGCCCCUUAUGUUGAGAUGACCACUUAAUUGCUUUCCUGCCUCCUUGAAA